rnacentral:rRNA from 1 species
UACGGAGGGUGCAAGCGUUGUCCGGAUUUAUUGGGUUUAAAGGGUGCGUAGGCGGCCCGUUAAGUCAGUGGUGAAAGCCUCCAGCUCAACUGGAGAACUGCCAUUGAUACUGACGGGCUUGAGUACAGACGAGGUUGGCGGAAUUGAUUGUGUAGCGGUGAAAUGCAUAGAUACAAUCAAGAACUCCGAUUGCGUAGGCAGCUAACUAGGCUGUAACUGACGCUGAGGCACGAAAGCGUGGGGAGCGAACAGGA